AGUGAACGCUGGCGGCAGGCCUAACACAUGCAAGUCGAGCGGCAGCGGGUCCUUCGGGAUGUCGGCGAGCGGCGGACGGGUAAGGAAUACAUCGGAAUCUGCCCUGUCGUGGGGGAGUAACCUAGGGAAACUUAGGCUAAUACCGCAUACGACCUACGGGUGAAAGCGGGGGAUCGCAAGACCUCGCGCGACAGGAUGAGCCGAUGUCCGAUUAGCUAGUUGGCGGGGUAAAGGCCCACCAAGGCGACGAUACAUAGCCGACCUGAGAGGGUGAUCGGCCACACUGGGGCUGAGACACGGCCCAG
rnacentral:rRNA from 1 species